UGGAGUUGAGUACAGGAAGCAGUUGAUUGGGAAGGAUUUGCUGGGAUAAAAACACUAGAUUGGAGACCCUCUGUGCCCAAGGAAACUGGUCAAAAUGUGGUGUUGAGACUCACCCUCUAACAACGGCAGGUCUAAUAAGUUCAAAGACUCCCUCUUGCUACAGUCUGUGAGGAGGAAGAGUCAGGAAGUCAGUGAGUGCCUGAAGGACUGCAUCGACACUGCAGGCUGGGGCGUGCUCUAGGAUCCACGUGAGGAUGACAUAGACUGCAUCAUAGACUGCAUCAUAGACUGCAUCACUGAGAUCACUGAUUAUGUAAAUAUGUGAACCAUAAUUCCAACAGCAAGCCCUGGAUCACCACUGACCUGAAUACUAAAUGAAAGGGGGGUCGUCAACUGCUCAUAAUUACAUACAUAAUUUCAUUAGGGAUUCAUAAAGUAUUCUGAUACUUAUAACCUCCCCAAUCCCAUCCUUCUGUCUAAACCCCCUGCCUGUACACGUUUGUGACCACUGGUCAUUUCAGGAGAUAGCGGAAGCUACUAGCUGAUGCAGUGUGUUAUCGCUGUCACCUGGAUGAUAUUUUGGUGGUAUUGUGAGAAAGCAAUCAAAACUGAACAAAGUUCUCUCCAUCAUGGCGAAUCCUUCUCUCCCACUUCAUCCCUCACUACUGAGGCACCAGAGCUCAUUCUCCCUCAGACAGAUGCCAGAAAAUCCACAUUUGAUUUCUGCUCUCCACAAGACCAAAACGUCCAACUGGAAUUCAAUAUCAAGGAUGACAGAUGGGGUUUACACACCUGAAUGUAUAUACUGAGGGAGAGG